rnacentral:rRNA from 2 species
UGCUGGAGGUAUCAGAAGUGCGAAUGCUGACAUAAGUAACGAUAAAGCGGGUGAAAAGCCCGCUCGCCGGAAGACCAAGGGUUCCUGUCCAACGUUAAUCGGGGCAGGGUGAGUCGACCCCUAAGGCGAGGCCGAAAGGCGUAGUCGAUGGGAAACGGGUUAAUAUUCCCGUACUUGGUGUUACUGCGAAGGGGGGACGGAGAAGGCUAUGUUGGCCGGGCGACGGUUGUCCCGGUUUAAGCGUGUAGGUGUGUGUUCCAGGUAAAUCCGGUUCACUUUAACACUGAGGCGUGACGACGAGGCACUACGGUGCUGAAGCAACAAAUGCCCUGCUUCCAGGAAAAGCCUCUAAGCAUCAGGUAACAUCAAAUCGUACCCCAAACCGACACAGGUGGUCAGGUAGAGAAUACCAAGGCGCUUGAGAGAACUCGGGUGAAGGAACUAGGCAAAAUGGUGCCGUAACUUCGGGAGAAGGCACGCUGACACGUAGGUGAAGUGAUUUACUCAUGGAGCUGAAGUCAGUCGAAGAUACCAGCUGGCUGCAACUGUUUAUUAAAAACACAGCACUGUGCAAACACGAAAGUGGACGUAUACGGUGUGACGCCUGCCCGGUGCCGGAAGGUUAAUUGAUGGGGUCAGCGCAAGCGAAGCUCCUGAUCGAAGCCCCGGUAAACGGCGGCCGUAACUAUAACGGUCCUAAGGUAGCGAAAUUCCUUGUCGGGUAAGUUCCGACCUGCACGAAUGGCGUAAUGAUGGCCAGGCUGUCUCCACCCGAGACUCAGUGAAAUUGAACUCGCUGUGAAGAUGCAGUGUACCCGCGGCAAGACGGAAAGACCCCGUGAACCUUUACUAUAGCUUGACACUGAACAUUGAGCCUUGAUGUGUAGGAUAGGUGGGAGGCUUUGAAGCGUGGACGCCAGUCUGCGUGGAGCCGACCUUGAAAUACCACCCUUUAAUGUUUGAUGUUCUAACGUGGACCCGUAAUCCGGGUUGCGGACAGUGUCUGGUGGGUAGUUUGACUGGGGCGGUCUCCUCCUAAAGAGUAACGGAGGAGCACGAAGGUUGGCUAAUCCUGGUCGGACAUCAGGAGGUUAGUGCAAUGGCAUAAGCCAGCUUGACUGCGAGCGUGACGGCGCGAGCAGGUGCGAAAGCAGGUCAUAGUGAUCCGGUGGUUCUGAAUGGAAGGGCCAUCGCUCAACGGAUAAAAGGUACUCCGGGGAUAACAGGCUGAUACCGCCCAAGAGUUCAUAUCGACGGCGGUGUUUGGCACCUCGAUGUCGGCUCAUCACAUCCUGGGGCUGAAGUAGGUCCCAAGGGUAUGGCUGUUCGCCAUUUAAAGUGGUACGCGAGCUGGGUUUAGAACGUCGUGAGACAGUUCGGUCCCUAUCUGCCGUGGGCGCUGGAGAACUGAGGGGGGCUGCUCCUAGUACGAGAGGACCGGAGUGGACGCAUCACUGGUGUUCGGGUUGUCAUGCCAAUGGCACUGCCCGGUAGCUAAAUGCGGAAGAGAUAAGUGCUGAAAGCAUCUAAGCACGAAACUUGCCCCGAGAUGAGUUCUCCCUGAGACUUAGAGUCUCCUGAAGGAACGUUGAAGACGACGACGUUGAUAGGCCGGGUGUGUAAGCGCAGCGAUGCGUUGAGCUAACCGGUACUAAUGAACCGUGAGGCUUAACCUUACAACGCCGAAG